UACGGGGGGGGCAAGCGUUGUUCGGAAUUACUGGGCGUAAAGGGUUUGUAGGUGGUCUGUUAAGUCAGACGUGAAAUCCCUCAGCUUAACUGGGGAACUGCGUCUGAGACUGAUGGACUUGAGGGCAGGAGAGGAACGCGGAAUUCCAGGUGUAGCGGUGAAAUGCGUAGAUAUCUGGAGGAACACCGGUGGCGAAGGCGGGUCUCUGGGCAGUAACUGACGCUGAGGAGCGAAAGCGUGGGGAGCGAACAGG
rnacentral:rRNA from 1 species